rnacentral:lncRNA from 1 species
CGACGGCAUGAGUGCGAAGCUUGGGCAAAGUAUUGCGUGCGUAGUGUCGUUAAGAGUGUGUUCGUCUUAAGCUACUAUUGAACCGCUGCUGUGCGGCAAAUUUCCUCCCUUAGUUCUCAUUUCCUACGUUGUCUUUGGGGUGUCGUAAUAGUUGCGAGUGGGUGGCUGUAGUGCCACGAUUCUCUCUUCUCCUCUUCUGUCGAGAAUAAUGAAUAAGCAUCGAUAAGAAAGGGAUCUAUCUAAUCCUUUGGUAACCUAAAAAAUUGGUCGACAUUGUUGACUACCCUUUGAUGAGCGAAAUCCUGUUUGCAGGCUGUCUCAGCUUUGCCACAUCUACGAGUUCAAUGAGCAAGAAGAUAGUGUGCCUGUUUUAAGCCCACCUGUUUUUAUUCACCUAUUUUCUUCUCCAUCAAAAUUUAUUUUUUUCUAUUCCUACCAAAGCAUUUCGAAUUACACAUUAGACCUUUCAUAUUUAAUUCUUCAACGUUAAAAAGUAUUUAUUAAUAAAAAUGAAAAAAAUAUAUUUUUUUUCUUCAAUAAAAUCUCUCUUAGAAUAAUGUUACUUUUCCCAGCAGUAACGUAAAGUUGCUGAAAAAACAUUGUAUGACUAUAUAGCUGAAAAUUUAAACGGAAAAAAAAAUCUCUAUAUCAGAACCAAAGUUAAGAGAAGUUCGGAUUGGCUAAAAUAUUAUUGCUAAAAUACCACAUGCCUAUCAACAAAAUUUGAGUGCUCGAGUAGCUAAGGCUUAUAUCUAAUCUAACAUACCCAAUUUUGUAAAUUUACCAUUUGCAUUUAAUGAAAAUCAUUUAAAUUUGUCCAAUUAAAUCUAAUUGAUUAGGAUGCUUUACACAUCAUAUAUUUAAAAACUUAUUAUUCACAGCUCAUUUUCACUUUUGACAACUUUUAUUAUUGAUAAUCCUUUAAAAAUAAUUUUAAAAAUAUUUUAUUAUUUAUAGUCUUAGUAUUUAUUACCUAUCUUUUUCUUUUUUUUCUCCACAGCCCCUUAGUAUUUAUAGUCUUAGUAUUUAUUUUAUCAUCAUAGUUAAUGUCGUUCGCUACUGAUAUUGCUCAUCACCUUUUUGCUCAUUAUCAACAUUGCUUAUUGUUGACCUCGCUCGAGAUUAUUUGACUUUGCUUAUCGUCACCUUGACGUCAUAGACGAGAAGGAGAGGAGAAGAAGAAAUAAAAAGAAAAAGAUAUUUACAUUCAUCUAAAAAUAAAUAGUUUAAAAAUAUUAAAAAUAUAUAAAAUAAGAUUGUAAAUAGUAAAGAACCUUACUAUUUACUAUUCUUUUUUUUUCUGUUAUUCACAACUCACUUAUUAUUGUUGACAAUACAAAUAUCUCAUUUUUGUAGGUUUCUAGUAAAAGAAUCAAUAUUUCAAUUUGACUCAUCAUGUCUAUCAUAAAAUUCAUCAUCUCUAUAAUUUUAGUUUUUCUAUCUAAUUAUCAUUCAAUUUCAUUUAAACAUACCUUAAGAGCGUUAAUAGUUUGAGACUUUUCGUAUAUUAGAUAUAUAUAUAAUCAUAUCUUAAUAUAUUAUCGAUGAAAUAAUUCUCUCUAUUAAAAUAAGAAAUAUAAAGUGAAUUUUAAAUAUUAAUAUGAAUAAUUUUAAAAAGUUCUUUACUUGUGUUUUUUUUUAUGGGUUUAGUUUAUUUUUUUAUGUAAUCCAUGUAAACAUCAAGAAUAGUAAAAUCUAAAUCAUUCAAAACAUUAUUCUUUAUUAAUUUUUUAAUUUUUUUCCUAGAGAUAUAUCAUAAGCAUCUGUCAUAAGAUAAAAUAUUUCUCAUUAUUAAAACUAUGUUUUAAUCUAACACUUGAUUAUAGGAUCAACAUUAACUUUAUAAAUUUAAUAUUUAAAUUAGUUCUAUAAAGAUAAUCACAUAAAAUUUUAAAAUUAGUUUUUAUUUAAUUAUAAAAAAAAUAUAUUAAGUUUAUUAUCACUAAAAGAAAGAUAAUGUCUUAACUCAUCAAUUUUAAAUAAAAAAAUUAAAUUUAUCAUCAAUUGAUCCAUCUUUAGGCUGAUAAUAUUAAUAAAAGAUCUAACUAUGACUCAAUAUAAUAAUACUCAAGGGAUUCAAGAUAAUAUCUUUAAUUUUUUUUGUUUAAAUUUUUAACUAUAUAGACAUCCCUUUUUUUUCAGCUACUUUACAUCCCUGCUGAUAAAAGAAACAUUCUAUUCUGAGAGAUUUUAUUAAAACAAAAUCUUUUGGAUUUUUAUUAAUAAACACUUUAACGUUAAAGAAUUAAAUUUUUGAUGGAGAAGAAAAAUAAAAAAUAUAAUAAUUUAUUAUCAAAUGAUAAUUGUGUUAGGACCAAAAUUGGUACUAAGAGGGGGGGUGAAUUAGUGCAUACAUAAAAAUUAUGUCGAGUCGAAAAUCUUCGUACGAUAAAACUAUUGAAUUUUAAAUUUUGAUGAUGAAAUCAAUUAAUUGUUGAAUCUUGGAUUUUGAUGAUGAAAUCAAUUGGUAAAUUGUUUGACCUAAUCUAUGUGUUGAGAUAAGUGUGUAGGAUUAACUACAAUAGCAGUAAGGUGUAAAGCAGAUGAUGGGCCGGAGUUAAAGAUUCGGAGGAUGUACUAGGAGUUCACCGAAAGCUCAUCGAAAGAUCGCCGGGAGUUCGUUGGAAGAAUCGUCGAGAGUUCAUCGGAAGAAUCGUCAAGAGUUCGUCGAAAGAAUCGUCGAGAGUUCAUCGGAAAAUUACCGAGAGUUCAUUUGGAGGAUCGCUGAGAGAAAAAUUAACAUACUGGACUAAUUGCUUGCCUUAAGUGUAGUUAGAACUUCAAUUGAGUUAGAAUUGAGAGGUGAUCCCACUAACUCGAUUAAGAGCCAACUGGGCUCUUAAUAGGGCUGAAUUGAAAAGCCCAUUCAGCACUUGAAAUCACGGUCGGCUACAGCAUCGCUUCGGACUCGAUCUCCAAAGUGUUCUGGGUGGUGGUAUUAUCGAUAAUUAAUGCUAUCAGGUGGUGGUACCGCCAGAGCUCGAUCUCUGAGCUUUGUCAGGUAGUCAUAUCGCCUAGAUUUAGUGAUGGUAUCGCUCAGUGUCAGUCUGUAGGCGGUGGUACCGCUAGUACCCCGAAAUAUGAGGAAAUGACACUUUUUGGCUCAAAUUUAAAAGCCAUUGGGGCAUAUAAAUACCCCACCCUUUUAUGCAUGAAAGGGUAACAAAGUAUAAUCAAAAGUGUAAAAAAUUCUAAGUGUUUGGGGUGUUACAAGUAUUGUAAAAGUGAGAAGAGUUAUCCUCCUCUCUCUAUUAGCUUUUGUAACCAUUCAAAAAAGAGGAUUGAGACUUGUAAGGGUUAUCUCCUAAACCCGGUAAAUGGAGAAAAAGCUGUAAAAGAUAGUUAGUUUUCGCCUAUUGAAGGUAGGUCAUCAAUGGAUGCUGGUGACCUCGACGGAGGAGGAAUCCGAAGUGGAUAUAAGUCACAAUGACUGGACCAUUCUAAAUUCUAGUUUGCAUUUUACUUGAGCAAUUUAUAUUACUACAAACUUCCUUAAUUUUCUCUUUACACUUUUACGAGCUCUUUCAAGUCUAAUAUCUUUUUGAAACGGAUUUAAUCGAAACAAACAUUUUCUGAAAUCAAGGAGUUCACCGAAAGCUCAACGAAAGAUCGUCGAGAGUUUGUCGGAAGAAUCGUCGAGAGUUCGUCGAAAGAAUCAUCGAGAGUUCAUGAGAAAAUUGUCGAGAGUUCGUCGGAAGAUCACCAAAAGUUCGUCGGAAGAUCGCAAAGAGUUCAUCGGAAGACUCGCCGAGAAGUUCGUUGGAGGAUAGCCGAGAGAAAAAUCGAUAUAAUGGACUAAUUGCUUGCCUUAAUCGUAGUUAGAACUUCAAUUGAGUUAGGAUUUAGAGAUGAUCCCACUAACUCAGUUAAGAGCCAAUUGGGCCCUUAACAGGGCUGAAUUGGGCUGGAUUGAAAAGCCAAUUCAGCACUUGAAAUCACGGCCGACUACGGCAUCGCUUAGGACUCGGUCUCCCAAGUGUUCUGGGUUGUGGUAUUGUCGACAAUUAAUGCUGUCAGGUAGUGGUACCGCUAGAGCUCAGUCUCUGAGCUUUCUCAGGCAAUCGUAUCGCCUAAACUGAGUGAUGGUAUCGCUCAAUGUCAGUCUGUAGGCGGUGGUACCGCUAGUACCCCGAAAUAUGGGGAAAUGACACUUUUUGGCUCAAAUUUAAAAGCCAUUGGGGCAUAUAAAUACCCCACCCUUUUAUGCAUGAAAGGGUAACAAAGUAUAAUCAAAAGUGUAAAAAAUUCUAAGUGUUUGGGGUGUUACAAGUAUUGUAAAAGUGAGAAGAGUUAUCCUCCUCUCUCUGUUAGCUUUUGUAACCAUUCAAAAAAGAGGAUUGAGACUUGUAAGGGUUAUCUCCUAAACCCGGUAAAUGGAGAAAAAGCUGUAAAAGAUAGUUAGUUUUCGCCUAUUGAAGGUAGGUCAUCAGUGGAUGCUGGUGACCACGACGGAGGAGGAACCGGAAGUGGAUAUAAGUCACAAUGACCGAACCAUUCUAAAUUCUAGUUUGCAUUUUAUUUUAGCAAUUUAUAUUACGAGAAACUUCCUUAAUUUUUUCUUUACACUUUUACGAGCUCUUUCAAAUCUAAUAACUUUCUGAAACGGAUUUAAUCGAAACAAACAUUUUCUGAAAUAAAGGAGUUCAUCGAAAGUUCAUUGAAAGAUCACCGAGAGUUCGUCGGAAGAAUCAUCGAGAGUUCGUCAAGAGUUAGUCGAAAAAUUGCCGAGAGUUCAUCGGAAGAUCACCAAGAGUUCGUCGGAAGAUCACAAAGAGUUCAUCGGAAGACUCGCCGAGAAGUUCGUUGGAGGAUCGCCGAGAGAAAAAUCGACAUACUGGACUAAUUGCUUGCCUUAAUUGUAAUUAUAACUUCAAUUGAGUUAGUAUUAAGAGGUGAUCCCACUAACUCAGUUAAGAGCCAACUGGGCCCUUAAUAGGGCUGAAUUGGGCCGGAUUGAAAAGCCUAUUCAGCACUUGAAAUCACGGCCGACUAUGGCAUCGCUUGGGACUCGGUCUCCCAAGUGUUCUGGGUUGUGGUAUUGUCGAUAAUUAAUGCUGUCAGGUAGUGGUACCGCUAGAGCUCGGUCUCUGAGCUUUGUCAGACAGUCGUAUCACCUAGACUGAGUUAUAGUAUCGCUCAGUGUCAGUCUGUAGGUGGUGGUACCGCUAGUACCCCGAAAUACGGUGAAAUGACACUUUUUGGCUCAAAUUUAGAAGCCAUUGGGGCAUAUAAAUACCCCACCCAUUUCUGCAUGAAAGGGUAACAAAGUAUAAUCAAAAGUGUAAAAAAUUCUAAGUGUUUGGGGUGUUACAAGUAUUGUAAAAGUGAGAAGAGUUAUCCUCCUUUCUCUGUUAGCUUUUGUAACCAUUCAAAUAAGAGGAGUGAGACUUGUAAGGGUUAUCUCCUAAACCCGGUAAAUGGAGAAAAAGCUGUAAAAGAUGGUUAGUUUUCGCCUAUUGAAGGUAGGUCAUCAGUGGAUGCUGGUGACCUCGACGAAGGAGGAACCGGAAGUGGAUAUAAGUCACAAUGACCGAACCAUUCUAAAUUCUAGUUUGCAUUUUAUUUGAGCAAUUUAUAUUACUACAAACUUCCUUAAUUUUCUCUUUACACUUUUACGAGCUCUUUCAAGUCUAAUAACUUUCCGAAACGGAUUUAAUCGAAACAAACAUUUUCUAAAAUCAAGGAGUUCACCGAAAGCUCAUCGAAAGAUCCCCGAGAGUUCGUCAGAAGAAUCGUCGAGAGUUCGUCAAAAGUAUAAUCGAGAGUUUAUCGAAAAAUUACCGAGAGUUCGUCGGAAGAUCACCAAGAGUUCAUCGGAAGAUCGCAAAGAGUUCAUCGGAAAACUCAUCGAGAAGUUCGUUGGAGGAUCGCCGAGAGAAAAAUUGACAUACUGGACUAAUUGCUUGCCUUUAUCGUAGUUAGAACUUCAAUUGAGUUAGGAUUGAGAGGUGAUCCCACUAACUCAGUUAAGAGUGAACUGGGCCCUUAAUAGAGCUGAAUUGGGACGGAUUGAAAAGCCUAUUCAGCACUUGAAAUCACGGCCGGCUACGACAUCGCUUGGGACUCGGUCUCCCAAGUGUUUUGGGCAGUGGUAUUAUCGACAAUUAAUGCUGUCAGGUAGUGGUACCGCCAGAGCUCGGUCUCUGAGCUUUGUCAGGUAGUCGUAUCGCCUAGACUGAGUGAUGGUAUCGCCCAGUGUCAAUCUGUAGGCGAGGGUACCGCUAGUACCCCGAAAUACGAGGAAAUGAUACUUUUUGGCUCAAAUUCGGAAGCCAUUGGGGCAUAUAAAUAUCCCACCCUUAUCUGCAUGAAAGGGUAACAAAGUGUAAUCAAAAGUGUAAAAAAUUCUAAGUGUUUCAAAUGUUACAAGUGUUGUAAAAGUGAGAAGAGUUAUCAACCUCUCUUUGUUAUCUUUUGUAACUAUUCAAAAAAGAGGAGUGAGACUUGUAAGGGUUAUCUCCUAAACCCGGUAAAAGGAGAAAAAUCUGUAAAAGGUGGUUAGUUUUCGCUUAUUGAAGGUAGGUCAUCAGUGGAUGCUGGUGACCACGACGGAGGAGGAACCGGAAGUGGAUAUAAGUCACAAUGACCGAACUAUUCUAAAUUCUAGUUUGCAUUUUAUUUGAGCAAUUUGUUAUUACUAUAAACUUCCUUAAUUUUCUCUUUACACUUUUACAAGCUCUUUCAAGUCUAAUAUCUUUCAGAAACGGAUUUAAUCGAAACAAACAUUUUCUAAAAUCAAGGAGUUCACCGAAAGCUCAUCGAAAGAUCCCCGAGAGUUCGUUGAGAGUUCGUCGAAAGUAUAAUCGAGAGUUUGUCGAAAAAUUACCGAGAGUUCAUCGGAAGAUCACCAAGAGUUCGUCGGAAGAUCGCAAAGAGUUCAUCGGAAAACUCAUCGAGAAGUUCGUUGGAGGAUCGCCGAGAGAAAAAUUGACAUACUGGACUAAUUGCUUGCCUUAAUCGUAGUUAGAACUUCAAUUGAGUUAGGAUUGAGAGGUGAUCCCACUAACUCAGUUAAGAGUGAACUGGGCCCUUAAUAGAGCUGAAUUGGGAUGGAUUGAAAAGCCUAUUCAGCACUUGAAAUCACGACCGGCUACUGCAUCGCUUGGGACUCGAUCUCCCAAGUGUUCUGGGCGGUGGUAUUAUCGAUAAUUAAUGCUGUCAGGUAGUGGUACCACCAGAGCUCGGUCUCUGAGCUUUGUCAGGUAGUCGUAUCGCCUAGACUGAGUGAUGGUAUCAUCCAGUGUCAAUCUGUAGGCGGGGGUACCGCUAGUACCCCGAAAUACGAGGAAAUGAUACUUUUUGGCUCAAAUUCAGAAGCCAUUGGGGCAUAUAAAUAUCCCACCCUUUUCUGCAUGAAAGGGUAACAAAGUGUAAUCAAAAGUGUAAAAAAUUCUAAGUAUUUGGGGUGUUACAAGUGUUGUAAAAGUGAGAGAGUUAUCCUCCUCUCUCUGUUAACUUUUGUAACUAUUCAAAAAAGAGGAGUGGGACUUGUAAGGGUUAUCUCCUAAACCCGGUAAAAGGAGAAAAAGCUGUAAAAGGUGGUUGGUUUUCGCCUAUUGAAGGUAAGUCAUCAGUGGAUUUUGGUGACCUCGACGGAGGAGGAACAGGAAGUGGAUAUAAGUCACAAUGACCGAACCAUUCUAAAUUCUAGUUUGCAUUUUAUUUGAGCAAUUUAUAUUACUACAAACUUCCUUAAUUUUCUCUUUAUACUUUUACGAGCUCUUUCAAGUCUAAUAUCUUUCCGAAAUGGAUUUAAUCGAAACAAACAUUUUCUGAAAUCAAGGAGUUCACCGAAAGCUCAUCGAAAGUUCGUCGAGAGUUCGUCGGAAGAAUCGACGAGAAUUCUUCGAAAGAAUCAUCAAGAGUUCAUCGGAAAAUUGCAGAGAGUUCGUCGAAAGAUCACUAAGAGUUUAUCGGAAGAUCGCAAAGAGUUCAUCGGAAGACUUGCCGAGAAGUUCGUUAGAGGAUCGCCGAGAGAAAAAUCGACAUACUGGACUAAUUGUUUGCCUUAAUCGUAGUUAGAACUUCAAUUGAGUUAGGAUUGAGAGGUGAUCCCACUAACUCGGUUAAGAGCCAACUGGGCUAUUAACAUAGCUAAAUUGGGUCGAAUUGAAAAGCUCAUUCAGCACUUGAAAUCACAGCCGACUACGGCAUCGCUUGGGAUUCGGUCUCCUAAGUGUUCUGGGCAGUGGUAUUGUCAACAAUUAAUGCUGUCAGGUAGUGGUACCGCCAGAGCUUAGUCUCUGAGCUUUGUCAGGCAGUCCUAUCACCUAGACUGAGUGAUGGUAUUGCCCAGUGUUAGUCUGUAGGCGGUGGUACCGUAAGUACCCCGAAAUAUGGGGAAAUGACACUUUUUGGCUCAAAUUCAGAAGCUAUUGGGGCAUAUAAAUACCUCACCCUUUUUUGAAUGAAAGGGUAACAAAGUGUAAUCAAAAGUGUAAAAAAUUCUAAGUGUUUGGGGUGUUACAAGUGUUGUAAAAGUGAGAAGAGUUAUCCUCCUCUCUUUGUUAGCUUUUGUAACCAUUCAAAAAAAGGAGUAAGACUUGUAAGGGUUAUCUCCUAAACCCGGUAAACGGAGAAAAACCUGUAAAAGGUGGUUAGUUUUCACCGAUUAAAGGUAAGUCAUCAAUGGAUGCUGGUGACCUCAACGGAGGAGGAACCGGAAGUGGAUAUAAGUCACAAUGACCGAACCAUUCUAAAUUAUAGUUUACAUUUUAUUUGAGUAAUUUAUAUUACUACAAACUUCCUUAAUUUUCUCUAUACACUUUUACGAGCUCUUUCAAGUCUAAUAUCUUUCUGAAAUGGAUUUAAUCGAAACAAACAUUUUCUGAAAUCAAGGAGUUCACCGAAAGCUCAUCGAAAGAUCGCCGAGAGUUUGUUGGAAGAAUCAUCGUGAGUUCGUCGGAAGAAUCGUCGAGAGUUUAUCGAAAGAAUCAUCGAGAACGUUGGAAGAAUCAUCGUGAGUUCGUCGGAAGAAUCGUCGAGAGUUUGUCGAAAGAAUCAUCGAGAGUUCGUCGGAAAAUUGCCUAGAGUUUGUCGGAAGAUCACCAAGAGUUCGUCGGAAGAUCGUAAAGUGUUCAUCGGAAGACUCACCGAGAAGUUCGUUGGAGGAUCGCCGAAAGAAAAAUCGAUAUACUGGACUAAUUGCUUGCCUUAAUUGUAGUUAGAACUUUAAAUAAGUUAGGAUUGAGAGGUGAUCCUACUAACUCAGUUAAGAGCCAAUUGGGCCCUUAAUAGGGCUGAAUUGGGUCGGAUUGAAAAGCUCAUUCAACACUUGAAAUCACGGCCAACUACAGCAUCGCUUGGGACUCGGUCUCCCAAGUGUUCUGGGCGGUGAUAUUAUCAACAAUUAAUGCAAUCAGGUAGUGGUACUGCUAGAGCUCGAUCUCUGAGCUUUGUCAGGCAGUCGUAUCGCCUAGACUGAGUGAUGGUAUCGCCCAGUGUCAGUCUGUAGGCGGUGGUACCGCUAGUACCUUGAAAUACGGGGAAAUGACACUUUUUGGCUCAAAUUCAGAAGCUAUUGGGGCAUAUAAAUACCCCACCCUUUUCUGCAUAAAAGGGUAACAAAGUGUAAUCAAAAGUGUAAAAAAUUCUAAGUGUUUGGAGUAUUACAAGUGUUGUAAAAGUGAGAAGAGUUAUCCUCCUCUCUCUGUUAGCUUUUGUAACCAUUCAAAAAAGAGGAGUGAGACUUGUAAGGGUUAUCUCUUAAACCCGGUAAAAGGAGAAAAAGUUAUAAAAGGUGGUUAGUUUUCGCCUAUUGAAGGUAGGUCAUCAGUAGAUGCUGGUGACCUUGAUGGAGGAGGAACCGGAAGUGGAUAUAAGUCACAAUGACCGAACCAUUCUAAAUUCUAGUUUGUAUUUUAUUUGAGCAAUUUAUAUUACUAUAAACUUCCUUAAUUUUAUUUUUACACUUUUAUGGGCUCUUUCAAGUCUAAUAUCUUUUCAAAACGGAUUUAAUCGAAAUAAACAUUUUCUGAAAUCAACAAUUUUUGCGCUGCACUAACUCACCCACACCCCCCCCCCCUCCUCCUCCUCCUCUUAGUGUCGUACUUGAUCCUAAUAUUGAUUUGUUAGUCAUCUAAUCUAUGUUUUGAGUAUCGCAAUACUAGCUUCAAUCAAGGAGAGGUAAAUUGAUUAAAAUGGGAGGAAUCAGACAUUGGGUCGGAGUGAACAUAUCAGAGAUUGGAUGUUGGGCUGGAGGAUCGGUCGAUGUGUCGAUAGAAGGCUCAUGCCAUGAAUUUGGGCAUUAAGCCGAAGGAUCGGACAUUACUCCAAGGAGAUCGAAAGUUGCGGGAGUCAACAUGCCAAUUGAACAAUACACCGAAGGAGAGGACGAGCGUCGGAUGAACCAAUGACAUGUCGGACAAAGGAUUCAUGCUUUGUAAUCAUUUAUUUAAUAUCAAAGUAAUUUAGGAGACUAAUUGAGUUAGCUUUUAGUCUAAUCAUGCUAAUUCAAUUAGGGGUCAAUUGGGCCUUAAAUGAGACUGAUUUGGGCUUAUUAGGAGGCCUAUUUAGUAAUCCAAAAGUUGGGUCAGGCGGUGGAACCCCUUGUGAGUUGGAAAACUUAAAAAACCCAAUCUUUGAGGCUGUUAGGCUAUGGUACCAUCAAACUGGGCGGUGGUACUACCUAGCGACAGUGACUGGGAGGUGGUACCGCUCAGUGUCAAGCUGUAGGCGGUGGUACCGCUCGUACCUCGAAAUCUUGGAGAUUUGAAUUUUGGGCUCCAAAUUUAAAUCUAUUUGGGGCCUAUAAAUACCUCACUCUUUCCUGCUUGGUAAAGCAAGAAAAUGAGUUUAAAAUGGAAAAAAAUCCUUGAGUAAAAUUUAUAAUCUCUCUUGAGGAGUAGAGUCCCUUCUUCCUAGUAUUUAGAAAGUUUUUCUAAAGGGAGAAAAGAGAUAUCUAUGUCGAAAAGAGAGGUGUAAAUGUUCUCUCCCGAGCCUAUCAAAAGGAGAAUAGAGUUAUAAGAGGGUAGUUGAUCUUCGCCCAUUGAAGGAAGAUCGUUAGUGGAUGUCGGUAGCCUUAACGAAAGAGGAAUCGAGAGUGGAUGUAGGUCACGACGACUGAACCACUAUAAAAUUUGGUUUGUAUUGCUAUUCUUGCUAUUUACCUUCACUGCAAACUACCUUAUUUUCUUUACUUCCACUAUGCUUAUGAAUACACUUUCAAAGUUAAGUAUUUAUUAUAUGGGCUUUGUCGAAACGGUAUUUCAUCAUAUGAAGAUUUUCGAACCGACGUGAUUUAGCCGCUACACUAAUUCACCGGGGCCCUCUUAGUUCCAACUCAAUCCUAACAAAAACCAUAUCAAGGAUUGUUUAACUUUGAAAACAUCUAUAAGAGUGUGUAGCUAAAGUAAUGAGGAAGUUAAGCAGUUUGCAAUAAAGAUGAACAACAAAACAGAAAUGAAAAUUAAUUUAUAAUGGUUCGGUCGUCAUGACCUAUAUCCACUCCUAAUUCCUCUUCCCUCGAGGCUAAUGGCUUCCACUGUCAAUCUUUUUUUCCAAUGGAUAAAGAUCAACUACCAUUAUACUCUUUCUCCUUUUCACAAGUUUAGGAGAGAACCGAGCUCUUAAAGAAAGGACUUUAUACUUAAAAGAGUUUUACAACCUUAGAAUCACAUAGUUUUUGCUCUCUUUUCGUAUAUAUUCUAAGCAAGAAUUUGUGGGGUAUUUAUAGACCCCAAAUGACUUCAAAACUUGGAGUCAAAAUUCAAAUCCCCGGGUUUUCGGGAUACUAAUAGUACUAUCGCCUGCUAAUCUGACACUAGGUGGUACCACCACUUGACACACUGACAUUGGACAGUACCAUCGCUUGACCCAACUUUUGGAUCAGUGAAUGGACCUCCCAAUGAGACCAAAUCAAUCCGAAUUAAGGUCCAAUCGGCCCCUAAUUGAGUUGAAAUUGUUUCACCCCAAUACUGACUCAAUUAGACCUAAACUAACUCGAUCUAUACAAAUUAUUACAAAGCACGAAUCAAAUAUUGUCCGACAUGUCAUUAGUUCCUCUAGCGCUUCGUCUGAUCCUUCGGCGCAUCGUUCUCUCAUUCGGCGUAUUGACCAAUCGGUAUGUUGACUCUCGCAACUUCCGAUCUCCUUAGCGCAAUAUCUGAUCCUUCGGCCCAAUGCCCGAACUCAUGGCACGAAGUCCUUCUGCCAGCAUGUCGAUCAAUCUUGCCCGACGUCCAAUCUACUAACAUGUUUAACUCUAUCCCAACAUCUGAUUCCUCUUGCUUCAAUCAAUUUGCCUCUCAUGAUCAAAGCUAGUCCUGUGUCACUCAAAAUAUAGAUUAGAUCAUAACAUUAUAAAUUGAUUUCAUCAUCAAAAUUUAAGAUUUAAAUAAAUAUUCACUUGUGGAGUGAUUUUGCUUAGUUGAUUGGUAGUUUGAGAGUACUAAUUUAAUUAAGAGUCCUAUUAAAUUAGGUUAGGGAAAAAUCUUUAAACGUCAUCUAUGAUCUUAUAAAAAGAGAGAUCAAUCAAUAUAAGUUGAAGUUUGUGAUAUUUAAAACUCAUGAGGUUGAAAGAAGUGUUAGUUUUCUAUACUAAAUUGGCACUAAAAAUUCAUAUUAAAUAUUCAGUCGAAAAAAAUCUAACAUGAAAGAAUUGCAUAUUAAAUCUAUCAUAAAACUGAAUUCUUCAAACAGGUGGGCUUAAAACAAGCACACUAUCUUCUUGCUCAUUGAACUCGUAGAUGUGGCAAAGCUGAGACAGCCUGCAAACAGGAUUUCGCUCAUCAAAGGGUAGUCAACAAUGUCGAACAAUUUUUUAGGUUACCAAAGGAUUAGAUAGAUCCCUUUCUUAUCGAUGCUUAUUCAUUAUUCUCGACAGAAGAGGAGAAGAGAGAAUCGUGGCAGUACAGCCACCCACUCGCACCUAUUACGACACCCCAAAGACAACGUAGGAAAUGAGAACUAAGGGAGGAAAUUUGCCGCACAGCAGCGGUUCAAUAGUAGCUUAAGACGAACACACCCUUAACGACACUACGCACGCAAUACUAUACCCAAGCUUCGCACUCAUGCCGUCGCNNN